rnacentral:rRNA from 1 species
AUUAGAUACCCGUGUAGUCCCAGCCGUAAACAAUGUGCGUUAGGUGUGUCGGUAACCACGCGUUACUGAUGCGCCGAAGAGAAAUCGUGAAACGCACCACCUGGGAAGUACGGUCGCAAGGCUGAAACUUAAAGGAAUUGGCGGGGGAGCACCACAACAGGUGGAGCCUGCGGUUUAAUUGGAUUCAACGCCGGACAUCUCACCGGAUAAGACAGCUGAAUGAUUGUCAAUCUGAAGGUUUUACAUGACUAGCUG